rnacentral:rRNA from 1 species
AUUGAACGCUGGCGGCAGGCCUAACACAUGCAAGUCGAACGGUAACAGGAAGCAGCUUGCUGCUUCGCUGACGAGUGGCGGACGGGUGAGUAAUGUCUGGGAAACUGCCUGAUGGAGGGGGAUAACUACUGGAAACGGUAGCUAAUACCGCAUAACGUCGCAAGACCAAAGAGGGGGACCUUAGGGCCUCUUGCCAUCGGAUGUGCCCAGAUGGGAUUCGCUAGUAGGUGGGGUAACGGCUCACCUAGGCGACGAUCCCUAGCUGGUCUGAGAGGAUGACCAGCCACACUGGAACUGAGACACGGCCCAGAGUCCUACGAGAGGCAGCAGUGGGGAAUAUUGCACAAUGGGCGCAAGCCUGAUGCAGCCAUGCCGCGUGUAUGAAGAAGGCCUUCGGGUUGUAAAGUACUUUCAGCGGGGAGGAAGGGAGUAAAGUUAAUACCUUUGCUCAUUGACGUUACCCGCAGAAGAAGCACCGGCUAACUCCGUG